GGGUGAGUAAUACAUCGGAACGUGCCUAGUAGUGGGGGAUAACUACUCGAAAGAGUGGCUAAUACCGCAUGAGAUCUAUGGAUGAAAGCAGGGGACCUUCGGGCCUUGUGCUACUAGAGCGGCCGAUGGCAGAUUAGGUAGUUGGUGGGAUAAAAGCUUACCAAGCCUACGAUCUGUAGCUGGUCUGAGAGGACGAUCAGCCACACUGGGACUGAGACACGGCCCAGACUCC
rnacentral:rRNA from 1 species